GCAAUGCAGCGUGAGUGACGAAGGCCUUAGGGUUGUAAAACUCUUUCAUCGGUGAGGAUAAUGACAGUAGCCGAAGAAGAAGGACCGGCUAAUUCCGUGCCAGCAGCCGCGGUAAUACGGAAGGUCCUAGCGUUGUUCGGAAUUACUGGGCGUAAAGCGCAUGUAGGCGGAACAAAAAGUUAGAAGUGAAAUCCCUGGGCUCAACCUAGGAAUUGCUUUUAAAACUUUUGUUCUGGAAUUCAGGAGAGGAAAAUGGAAUUUCCAGUGUAGAGGUGAAAUUCGUAGAUAUUGGAAGGAACACCAGUGGCGAAGGCGAUUUUCUGGACUGAUAUUGACGCUGAGAUGCGAAGGCAUGGGUAGCAAACGGGAUUAGAUACCCCGGUAGUCCAUGCAGUAAACGAUGGGUGCUAGUCGUCGGACUUUUGUUCGGUGUCGUAGCUAACGCGUUAAGCACCCCGCCUGGGGAGUACGGUCGCAAGAUUAGAACUCAAAUAAAU
rnacentral:rRNA from 1 species